GCCUGGAUGGCUCAGUCAGUUGAGCAUCCGACUUCAGCUCAAGUCAUGAUCUCACAGUUCGUGGGUUCGAACCCCGCAUCAGGCU
rnacentral:tRNA from 1 species